rnacentral:rRNA from 1 species
GACGAACGCUGGCGGCGUGCUUAACACAUGCAAGUCGAACGAAGUGGCGAACGGGUGAGUAACGCGUAAUCAACCUGCCCUUCAGAGGGGGACAACAGUUGGAAACGACUGCUAAUACCGCAUACUGAAGGAGGGGAUUGCGUCUGAUUAGCUAGUUGGAGGGGUAACGGCACACCAAGGCGAUGAUCAGUAGACGGUCUGAGAGGAUGAACGGUCACAUGGGGACUGAGAAACGGCCGAAAAUCCGACGGGAGGCAGCAGUGGGGAAUCGUCAGGAAUGGACUAAAGUCUGACGGAGCAACGCCGCGGGAGUGAUGACGGCCUUCGGGUUGUAAAGCUCUGUUAAUCGGGACGCGUUACCGGAAUAGAAAGCCACGGCUAACUUCGUGCAAGCAGCCGAGGUAAUAC